CUGCGGAGGAAGGAAGAGGCCUCCUCAGAAUGAAUGGCUGACAAUGCCCCCACACUGGCUAAGAAAUGUGAAAACAGCUGAAGAAGAAAUAAAGCAGAGGAGAAAAACAAGGAAAAGAGGGAUAAGUUCUGAACUCUUGGUCCUGAUUUCAAGCCCUACCUCCUGCACCCAACCAUCUUAGGUGCCACCAUUCUCUUUGCGCCUUGCCUGACUUAUUUCCUCACAGUGCCCCACACAUACAUUAUUGGGCUUCCAUGAAGACGGAUAGCAGGUGACCAGCUCUUUCUUAUGAUAAUAACAAUUACAUCAGAAGAUCAUUAUUUUAUUAAUUCCUUAUUUAUUGAACUCUGCCUUAUUCCAAAAUUGAUAUAGGGUGGCUAAUAAGGAACCAUAAAAUACAACAGAGAAUGCAUAUAGAGAGUGGGAAAGGAUCGACAAAAUAUACUGUUAAAUUUUUAAAAAAGCAUAUCAAAGACUAAUACAUAUUGUGUGAUCAUUUAUAAAAUUCAUAUGAAAAAAUGUCUACCCACAAAUUUCUGUUAAGUACAUAGAAAUAUUUGUUAACAUUUGAAAAAGGAAGAUUUAAACCAAAUUUAACAGUUAGGAAAUAGUCCCAGAGGGGAACAGUGAGCA